rnacentral:rRNA from 1 species
AGUGAGGAAUAUUGCACAAUGGGGGAAACCCUGAUGCAGCAACGCCGCGUGGAGGAUGACGCAUUUCGGUGUGUAAACUCCUUUUAUAUGUCAAGAAAAUGACGGUAGCAUAUGAAUAAGCACCGGCUAACUCCGUGCCAGCAGCCGCGGUAAUACGGAGGGUGCAAGCGUUAUUCGGAAUCACUGGGCGUAAAGGACGCGUAGGCGGGAUGCCAAGUCUGAUGUGAAAUCCUAUGGCUUAACCAUAGAACUGCAUUGGAAACUGGUGACCUAGAGUAUGGGAGGGGGAGAUGGAAUUAGUGGUGUAGGGGUAAAAUCCGUAGAUAUCACUAGGAAUACCGAAAGCGAAGGCGAUCUCCUGGAACAUAACUGACGCUAAGGCGUGAAAGCGUGGGGAGCAAACAGGAUUAGAUACCCUGGUAGUCCACGCCCUAAACGAUGAACACUAGUCGUCGGGAUGCUAGUCAUCUCGGUGAUGCACUUAACAGAUUAAGUGUUCCGCCUGGGGAGUACGGUCGCAAGGUUAAAACUCAAAGGAAUAGACGGGGACCCGCACAAGUGGUGGAGCAUGUGGUUUAAUUCGAAGAUACGCGAAGAACCUUACCUAGCCUUGACAUUGAGAGAAUACCCUAGAGAUAGAGUAGUGCCCUUCGGGGAGCUCGAAAACAGGUGCUGCACGGCUGUCGUCAGCUCGUGUCGUGAGAUGUUGGGUUAAGUCCCGCAACGAGCGCAACCCUCGUCCUUAGUUGCCAGCAGGUUAAGCUGGGCACUUUAAGGAGACUGCCUUCGCAAGGAGGAGGAAGGUGAGGACGACGUCAAGUCAUCAUGGCCCUUAUGGCUAGGGCUACACACGUGCUACAAUGGGGCGUACAGAGAGUUGCGAUACCGCGAGGUGGAGCCAAUCUCAUAAAGCGUCUCUCAGUUCGGAUUGAAGUCUGCAACUCGACUUCAUGAAGCUGGAAUCACUAGUAAUCGUAGAUCAGCAAUGCUACGGUGAAUACGUUCCCGGGUCUUGUACUCACCGCCCGUCACACCAUGGGAGUUGAUUUCACCCGAAAUUGGGAAGCUAACCUUCGGGGGGCUACCACUUACGGUGGAAUUAGCGACUGGGGUG